rnacentral:rRNA from 1 species
UACGAAGGGGGCUAGCGUUGUUCGGAUUUACUGGGCGUAAAGCGCACGUAGGCGGUUUGUUAAGUGAGAGGUGAAAUCCCAGAGCUCAACUCUGGAACUGCCUUUCAUACUGGCAAGCUAGAGUCCGGAAGAGGUAAGUGGAACUCCUAGUGUAGAGGUGAAAUUCGUAGAUAUCGGGAGGAACACCGGUGGCGAAGGCGGCGACCUGGGUCGAGACUGACGCUGAGGCGCGAAAGCGUGGGGAGCAAACAGG